AUGGAAGUGAUGAUCAUUUUCCCCCAAUGAUCUACGCUGAUUAUACCGUGCGAUUUUUUUUCUCUUUUGAGAAUCCAAGCCAGAAAUCUGAUCCAU